UCUUUCAUUAAUCGAAAUGCCACUGCCCACUCCUAAAGACCUCCAUCUCCAAACGUUUUGCUCUGUCCUCUUGUCCUAUUCUCAAAUUUGCACUAUGGUGGAGUUUACACCUCCGUUCUAUCUCAGGUAAGCAUCCAUCAAUCUUGGCGCCAUUUGCAAAGUAUGCCGACCGUCAAACACCUCCAUCUCCGACCGUCUGUUCUCCCCUCCUUUCCUCUUGUUCUUAGCAAGUCUACGAUCUCGGGUGUUGCAUACACAUUACAUUCUCCAGACCCUACUUGUGGAAUUACAAUGGCUGAAAAUAAUCCUGUUGAGGUCUCUAAUAAUGUUGUUCUACAAAGGCUUCUUCUGAGUUGAAGUAAUAGGAUUUGCAGUGAUGAUUUUCACUGCAGCAACUUCAUUCGCUUUCAUUUGUUGGGAGAUUAAUCAGAUGCUUUUCUGUCACACACACUUGGGAUUUUCGCUUUGGAUUAGUCUUGAAGACACAUAUAUGCACCCAAUCCCAUUUAAUAACCUUCAUAAUUUUAUAGAAACUGUAUCUUCUUUAUGAAUCUGACAGUCUUUUCAAUAGUGGAAACAUAAUUGAGCCCAU